GGGGGGGGGGGGGGGCAAGGAGAGGUGGAGGGACUUCGGCAACUCGGGACGCCGUUUCCUUCGGUUUCGUCGCCACCGUCAUUCUCAUCUCCAUGUUCCUCGUCAUGGUCAUCUUCGAGCGCUUCCCCCGCCCCAGGGUCCCCCUAGCCCCUCCUCUCCUCCGAAGAUGGCCGGAUGCGGAGGGCCUCUUCCUCCGCGGAUCUCAAGGCGCAGCGCCGCCGGGGCAUCUCCGGCCAGGCCAGCUCGAUUACCCUUCGCCCAAGGUAGCUUUACCGAAAAUUCACCAUUAUUUUUUUUAUUUUUUUAUUUUCGUGAAUGUUAGCACCAGUAGCAUAGGUUCCAUAGGAAGUGUUUGUAAGGCCACGCAACCACGCCCAGAAGCAGGGAAUAUAAUAGGGGGAUGUUAGAAAAAAACAAGGCCAUUUAGAAAGGGACAGCUUAUAGUGGGGCGUUGGAUUAAAGAAGUUGUUUCAUAUUGCAACUUCAUCUUUGAACACUGCAAGCAGCAUCUGACAUGUUAGAACCAAAGAUGAAGGGUUGUCUCUUUAAUCAACCUAUUUGUGACUUUAACUGUAAAAAAAGGCUGCAUAUUGGUACCUUUUUCAUACUUUUCUAAGUUUUUCAUCUUGACCAUUAGAUCUGCUGGCAUGGGGUAUGCAAGUGGAGCAUACACAUGGCUAACUAACUGACAUGAUCCACAUAACAACAAUGGGGAAUGUUAAGUGGACUUGAAAUUCUAUGUAGGCAAGCCUAUGGAGCACAACAAUACCAGAAGCUAAAAAUAUAUACCUACAGAACCAUUCUCUCUCAUACUGUGGUCUAUCUUCAGAAAAAUCAAAACACAAGAUAAGAAGCUCAAACGAUCACUAUUCAAGACUGAAAACAAUGUCGGCAAAGUAUCAUGUACUCCAUAAAUUCGUUAGAAAAAUGAAAGAUUCUGAGAUUGGUGAAAGUAUCAUCUAUGAUAACUUUUACCUUAUGAUUACUAUAGAUGGAAGUGUCAACUGUAAAAACUCAUUGAUCUCUCUAAAAUAUUUCAUUGAGAUUGGUGAGCGAGUAGCUUUGCAAGAUUCUGGGUAUUUAAUCAUAGCUAGUACACAAGUAUGGAGAUGUUCAACCAAUGUGAUAUGCUUAUGGAGUUCAACCAACUUUACAUAGGCAUAUCACAUUAGUCGAACAUCUUCAUGCUUAUGUCCUAGCUAUUAUCAAAUACUCAGGAUCUUGCAAAGCUACUCGCUCACCAAACUCAAUGGAAUGCUUUAGAGGGAUCAAUGAGUCUUACAGCUGGCACUUCCAUCUGCAAUAAUAUAUGGUAAAAAUCAUCGUAAAUUUUAGAAUUUUCUUUUCAUUUUCUUAUGAAUUUAUUAAAUAAAGAAUAUUUUGCCAACAUUGAUUUUAGCCUUGAAUGGUGGUGGUUUGAGCUUCUUAUCUUGUUUUUGGUGUCUUCUUACAAGCAGACCACAACAAGAGAUAGAAUAGCUCUGUAAAUGUGAACUCCUAGCUUUGUUGUGCUCCAUAAGCUUGCCCACAUAGAGUUUCCCGUCCACUUGCCAUUCCAAGCUAUUGUUAUGUGUAUCAUGUCAAUUAGUCAGCCAAUUAUAGUAAUGAAGCACGAGAAGGAACACAAGGAAGGAAUUGGACUUACGAGGAGGGUGAAGCCAGUGAUGCUGGUAAGCGACGAAGCCAUGGCGAAGCUGGAGAGGGUGAUCUUGCCAAGGUGGCUGAUCAUCUAGAUCACCUGGACCAUGCCCUACGAUAGCAUCAUCACCACCAUGGGUGUUGCCAAGUAACCAAUCCACGGCCAGUAUCUCAUUGCUCUAUGACAUUCCAUAUGGACUUGGUGUUGCUGCCAGGUGUCAAAUGAAUUAGGAGCGGGGAAACCAUAAAGAUCUCAGUUAGCAGUACGUUUUGUGAUGUUUCUUGCAGUUAUGGAGCCAUUCUGGCCUUUUUUGCCAUGUGUGGCAUCUUGGGGUAUGCCAAUAGUAAUGAGGAGGUCAUUAGUUAUGUCAGGGAAAUGGUUCCUCUGGUUUAUGUCUCAGUUAUAAUGGAUAGCCUACAAGGUGUCCUCUCAAUUAAUAUAUUCCUUUCAUCUUUAUGUCUUUUGACUAGAGUAACAGCAACACCAAUAUUCAAUCUAAGAUAUUAUCUUCUGUGGUUGAAAAUUUUUGAAA